rnacentral:rRNA from 1 species
UACGGGGGGUGCAAGCGUUGUUCGGAAUUACUGGGCGUAAAGGGCUCGUAGGUGGCCAACUAAGUCGGACGUGAAAUCCCUCGGCUUAACCGGGGAACUGCGUCUGAUACUGGAUGGCUUGAGUUUGGGAGAGGGACGCGGAAUUCCAGGUGUAGCGGUGAAAUGCGUAGAUAUCUGGAGGAACACCGGUGGCGAAGGCGGCGUCCUGGACUAACACUGACACUGAGGAGCGAAAGCCAGGGGAGCAAACGGG